GGAGGGGAGAGAUAUGAAUUCAGUGACAAAUGGGUGAGCAACCUUUCCUGUGAAAGAACAUAGUUUAAAUGUGCAGGACAGUGAAGAGAUUUCUUCUGAGAACUCAAUCAAUCUAAUACAGAUGUAUGAAAGUAUGAACAAUGACAAAGGAUAAGAUUUUUAUCAUUAACCAUCAGCUAAGAUAAGGUCAUUUACAAAGAAGACUCAGAGUCUGAAUCCAGAAAAAUGACUGGUGAAAGGACAGACUUCAGAAAUGCAUCAUCAAAGUUUGAAGCAGAAAGUGAUGGAUACUGCAGUUUCUAUUGAGGAGUAAGUCUAACUGAGCAGAAAACAACUUAGAAGCAAAGAUUCAAAAAAGUCUCUAAAAGGAUCGGCUAGUUUAGCUGGGAUAUCAUGCCUAAUGAGUUGUAAAUUGCUAGCUCUUCUAAGCACUGGAAGCAUCUUCUGGACAUAAUUAUUUUCAUCAUCAAAGACCUUUCAUGGACAGUUCCUGAGACAGUAGACACUGAGAGUACCAGAGCUAUGAUUAACUCUUAGAACAUGGGUUUUCCUUUCCCAUGUGCCUCUUUGCCAGGAUUCUGUAAUUGUAUGUCCAGUCUCCCUCACAGACACUGAAGAUAGCAAUGGAAAA